rnacentral:rRNA from 1 species
GGUUUGAUUCUUGGCCUGGGACGAACGCUGGCGGGAUGCUUUACAUGCAAGUCGAACGCACGGACUUUGGUCUGGUGAGUGGCGAACGGGUGAGUAAUGUAUCGGAACGUGCUCAGUAGCGGGGAUAACUACGCGAAAGCGUAGCUAAUACCAUGCGGUCGCCCUUCGGGGAAAGCGGGGACCUUUCAGGCCCCGCACUAUUAGAGCGGCCAUUGAUAUCGGAUUAGCUAGUUGCGGGUAACGGCUCACCAAGGCGACGAUCCAGCUGUUGAGAGGACGACCAGCCACACUGGGACUGAGACACGGCCCAGACUACGGAGGCAAAAAGGGGAAUUUUGGACACCGGGAAACCCUGAUCCAGCCAUCUCGGCGUGUGCGAUGAAGGCCUUCGGGUUGUAAAGCACUUUUGGCAGGAAAGAAACGGCACGGGAUAAUACCCCGUGCAACUGAUUUAUACCUGCAAGAAUAAGCACCGGCCAACUACGUGCCACAGCAGCCGCGGUAAUGGUUAGGGUGCAAGCGUUAAUCGGAAUUACCGGGCGUAAAGCGUGCGCAGGCGGUCUGGAAAGAAAGAGCGUGAAAUCCAGAGCUUAACUUUGGAACUGCAUUUUUAACUACCGAGCGAGGUGCCGAGGGAGGUGGAAUCAUGUGGGUAGCAGUGAAAUGCGUAGAUAUGCGGAGGAACACCGAUGGCGAAGGCAGCCUCCUGGGAUAACACUGACGCUCAUGCACGAAAGCGUGGGGAGCAAACAGGAUUAGAUACCCCGGUAUCCACGCCUGCAAACGAUGUCACAACUAGCUGUUGGGGCUCGGGCCUGGUAGCGCAGCUAACGCGUGAAGUUAACGCCUGGGGAGUACGGUCGCAAGAUUAAAACCUAAAGAAUUGACGGGACCGCACAAGCGGUGGAUGAUGUGGAUUAAUUGAUGCAACGCGAAAACCCUACCUACCCUUGACAUGUCUGAAUCCCGAAGAGAUUUGGGAGUGCCGCAAGAGAACGGAACACAGGUGCCGUGGCUGUCGUCAGCCCGUGUCGUGAGAUGUUGCUGUCCGGCAACUGAGCGCAACCUUGUCAUUAGUUGUUGCUGAAAGGGCACUCAACAUUGACUGCCGGUGACAAACCGGAGGAAGGUGGGGAUGACGUCAAGUCCUCAUGGCCUUUAUGGGUAGAUUCACGUCAUACAAUGGUCGGGACAGAGGCUGCCAACCCGCGAGGGGGAGCCAAUCCCAGAAACCUGAUCAGUCCGGAUCGCAGUCUGCAACUCGACUGCGUGAAGUCGGAACCGCUAGUAAUCGCGGAUCCAUGUCGCGGUGAAUACGUUCCCGGGUCUUGUACACACCGCCCGUCACAAUUCGCUGGAGUGGGUUUUACCAGAAGUAGUUAGCCUAACCUGCAGGAGGGCGAUUACCACGGUAGGAUUCGAUGAUCAGUGAAGUCGUAACAAGGUAG